rnacentral:rRNA from 1 species
UGGGGAAUAUUGCACAAUGGGCGCAAGCCUGAUGCAGCCAUGCCGCGUGUAUGAAGAAGGCCUUCGGGUUGUAAAGUACUUUCAGCGGGGAGGAAGGCGGUGAGGUUAAUAACCUCAUCGAUUGACGUUACCCGCAGAAGAAGCACCGGCUAACUCCGUGCCAGCAGCUGCGGUAAUACGGAGGGUGCAAGCGUUAAUCGGAAUUACUGGGCGUAAAGCGCACGCAGGCGGUCUGUCAAGUCGGAUGUGAAAUCCCCCGGCUCAACCUGGAAACUAAAUUGGAGACUGGCAGGCUAGAAUUUUGGAGAGGAGGGUAGAAUUCCAGGUGUAGCGGUGAAAUGCGUAGGGAUCUGGAGGAAUACCGGUGGCGAAGGCGGCCCCCUGGACAAAGACUGACGCUCAGAUGCGAAAGCGUGGGGAGCAAACAGG